rnacentral:tRNA from 1 species
GUUUGUCUAGCUUAGUUGGUAGAGCACAAGGCUCUUAACCUUAAGGUCGGUGGUUUCAAGCCCCACUGUGGGCA